UCUACCCCUAGAGGAUUUGUGGGUGUGGAUUCUGUGUCACAUAAUUAUCAGUAUGUAGCAGAGAGGAGAGAGGCAAUGUCUAUGCUCAGUAUUCUGACCUGUGAAUAUCUGAAUGAUUAGUAGCCUAACAAU